rnacentral:lncRNA from 1 species
UACCACUUUGCGCCAGGAUCUACAGCACUGUCUUUUGAUUAGGUUUUAUCUAUUUUAUUGAUUGCUUUUGGGUUUGAGUCUAUGGAGCUUCGACUAUUGCGGAUAACAGGGUUAUAAUAAAUAGGUAAACAGCAAGCUGUUAUAUUGAAUUAAUGUUUGUAAAAUUCUGUAGUAAUUUAAACAGAAUAGUAUGAUUAGUAUG